rnacentral:rRNA from 1 species
AACGAACGCUGGCGGCAUGCCUAACACAUGCAAGUCGAACGAGACCUUCGGGUCUAGUGGCGCACGGGUGCGUAACGCGUGGGAAUCUGCCCUUGGGUUCGGAAUAACUCAGAGAAAUUUGAGCUAAUACCGGAUGAUGACGUAAGUCCAAAGAUUUAUCGCCCAAGGAUGAGCCCGCGUAAGAUUAGCUUGUUGGUGGGGUAAUGGCCUACCAAGGCGACGAUCUUUAGCUGGUCUGAGAGGAUGAUCAGCCACACUGGGACUGAGACACGGCCCAGACUCCUACGGGAGGCAGCAGUGGGGAAUAUUGGACAAUGGGCGAAAGCCUGAUCCAGCAAUGCCGCGUGAGUGAUGAAGGCCUUAGGGUUGUAAAGCUCUUUUACCAGGGAUGAUAAUGACAGUACCUGGAGAAUAAGCUCCGGCUAACUCCGUGCCAGCAGCCGCCGUAACAC